AGGAGCCGAGGGUGCGGGGAGAGAGGGAUCUCUGGGGGUUUAAUCUACUAGAACCUGAAGCUAAAGAAUUGGUUGGAUGGCUCAAGUCUGUGGGUGUCAGGAACCCACCAUUGCUCUCCCCCCCUUCUGCCUUUCUGCCCCUUCCUUCCCAAAUCACAGCCACCCCUGCUCUAGUCCCCUGCUGCCUCCAUGCCAGGCUGUGCCCAUCUCUCUUUGCCCCACAGGACCUGCUUCUCCCCCCCACUGCUGUCCUUGAGCCCCCUUGCCUCUGGGCUGCCUGUCCCUGGACUCUUCUUAGGCCCCUCCCCGAUUGAGACAGAUUUGGGAUGAGGGUGGAAGGAGGGAGGAGAAGGGCUGGGGGGAUGGGAUCUCCCUCUCCGGGAUCCUGACUCCUGUGUUUCCUCCCUUUUGCAGUAAGAGACCAGGGGCUCGACUGCUCCGCCAGGGUUUCAUACCAGCCCAGUGUGUGAGAUGAAACCAGAAGGAGCCUGCCCAAGUUUGGCUGUGAAUUGCAGAGGCUCAGAGCUCCUCCUGUCCUUAAAUGCUGUUUCGGAUGUUCCUUAAUCCUGUCCUUGAGCCCCCUUGCCUCUGGGCUGCCUGUCCCUGAACUCUUCUUAGGCCCCUCCCCAUAUUGAGACUGAUAUGGAAUGGGGUCGGAAGGAGGGAGGAGAAGGGCUGGGAUCUCCCUUCCUGGGAUCCUGACUCCUGUAUUUCCUCCCUUUUGCAGCAAGCGACCAGGGGUCCGACAUCUCCACCGGGUUUCAUACCAGCCUGGUGUGUGAGAUGAGACCAGAAGGAGCCUGCCCAAGUUUGGCUGUGAAUUGCAGAGGCUCAGAGCUCCUGCUGUCCUUUAAUGCAGUUACAACAUCUGGAUAUGGAGGGGUUUUGUCCGUGUUGACCAAGAGCCAUGCUCCGGUUCCCCUGCAGAUGGGAGGGACGUCCACCACCAGCCCUCUUGGGUCACCUCCUGCAUCCCCAGAACCUCACUCUCCUGUCUGACUAGAUCCAGAGUGGUCCAGAGGUGACCUCUGCUGGAGUUGAGGCCUCUUCUCAAACAUCCUCAGGCAGAGCAGAGAAUGAGGAGCUCCAGGGGGCAUUCGGACCUUCCUCAUGGCAAUGGCAGCUGCUGAGGCAGUUUCCUCCAGACCCUCUUUCUGUCCCGAUACCUUCAAGGCUCCAGUUCUCCAGCCUGGUUCAUGGAGCUCCACGUCCAGGACAACCAGCUGCUGUUCUCUGGGGCUCCACCCUGGACCUCCCAUGAUGCCCUGGGGCAGUGAGUUGAGAAACAGGCUGGAGAGGGAGGAAGAAGCAGCUGAAGGGGGAAAUGGAGAAGCAGGGAACUGAGAAAGAGGUAGAGAGGCUGAGGGGAUGGGGUGUAGUGACUCUCCUGCAGGAGAUGAGAGGGACUGAUCCUGCUGAAGGCAAGGAGGAAGCCAGCAAGGAGACCUCCUGGGGCUGCAGGAAUCUUCUCGCCCAACCCAAUGGAUUUGCUGCACCUUGCUUUGAAGACACUGGAUGUAAUUUUUUUUUUACUUUUGUAAUAUAUGUUUGACUUAAAUAAAUAAGGGUGCACCCCCUUUGUCUUUA